rnacentral:misc_RNA from 1 species
AGGCUUUAUGAUGAGCCGUUUUACCCUGCUUUUUCGCCGCUCAAGGUUUAUGUAUACGAAAUGCCGGCGAAAUUCACUUAUGAUUUGCUUUGGUUGUUUCAUAACACGUAUAAAGAGACUUCAAAUCUUACCUCUAAUGGUAGUCCUGUUCACCGCUUGAUCGAACAGCAUUCAAUUGAUUACUGGUUGUGGGCGGACUUGAUAGCGCCAGAAUCAGAGAGGUUACUGAAGAAUGUAGUGAGAGUAUACAAGCAGGAGGAAG